UACAGAGGUCUCAAGCGUUGUUCGGAUUCAUUGGGCGUAAAGGGUGUGUAGGUGGCGCGCUAAGUCGGGUGUGAAAUUUCGGAGCUUAACUCCGAAACUGCAUUCGAUACUGGCGUGCUUGAGGACUGGAGAGGAGACUGGAAUUCAUGGUGUAGCAGUGAAAUGCGUAGAGAUCGGGAGGAACACCAGUGGCGAAGGCGGCACCCUGGACCAGCACUGACACUGAGGCACGAAAGCGUGGGGAGCAAACAGG
rnacentral:rRNA from 1 species